rnacentral:rRNA from 1 species
CUUGCCUUCUGCCAGCGCUUGGGAGGAUCCCAGUUCUGGCAGGCUGUUGUCCAACUCAUUCUAGUCCUCCACAUUGGCAUGUCCAUCUCUAUGGGCUCAGGUGCCUCGACAUUGUUUUGGUUCGACCGGUGGGUUGGCGAUCUCCCUCUUGCUGCUAGCUUCCCUGAGCUUUUCUCCGUCACGGCCGACCCUUGGGUCUCCGUGGAGGUGGCCCUUAUUGACUUAGGGCGCCUUGCGUUCCGGAGGCCGUUUGGCCCCCUUGAGGUUGUUGCUUGGGAUGCCAUCCUUCAGGCCAUCCCCCUUCAGCCUCUCGACAUCGACAACGCUGAGGACUCCCUGUCGUGGCGUCUAGAGUCUUCGGCUCGCUUCUCGACCAAGUCCCUCUAUCAAGCGAUUGCCCCAUCUACGGUCUCGGAGCCGUUUAGUUUGAUAUGGGAUAUCCGCAUCCCAUUGAAGAUCAGGAUCUUCCUCUAG